rnacentral:rRNA from 1 species
GAUGAACGCUGACAGAAUGCUUAACACAUGCAAGUCAACUUGAACUUCGGUUUGGGUGGCGGACGGGUGAGUAACGCGUAAAGAACUUGCCUCACAGAUAGGGACAACAUUUGGAAACGAAUGCUAAUACCUGAUAUUAUGAUUUUAGGGCAUCCUAGGAUUAUGAAAGCUAUAUGCGCUGUGAGAGAGCUUUGCGUCCCAUUAGCUAGUUGGAGAGGUAACGGCUCACCAAGGCGAUGAUGGGUAGCCGGCCUGAGAGGGUGAUCGGCCACAAGGGGACUGAGACACGGCCCUUACUCCUACGGGAGGCAGCAGUGGGGAAUAUUGGACAAUGGACCAAGAGUCUGAUCCAGCAAUUCUGUGUGCACGAUGAAGUUUUUCGGAAUGUAAAGUGCUUUCAGUUGGGAAGAAAAAAAUGACGGUACCAACAGAAGAAGUGACGGCUAAAUACGUGCCAGCAGCCGCGGUAAUACGUAUGUCACAAGCGUUAUCCGGAUUUAUUGGGCGUAAAGCGCGUCUAGGUGGUUAUGUAAGUCUGAUGUGAAAAUGCAGGGCUCAACUCUGUAUUGCGUUGGAAACUGUGUAACUAGAGUACUGGAGAGGUAAGCGGAACUACAAGUGUAGAGGUGAAAUUCGUAGAUAUUUGUAGGAAUGCCGAUGGGGAAGCCAGCUUACUGGACAGAUACUGACGCUAAAGCGCGAAAGCGUGGGUAGCAAACAGG